rnacentral:rRNA from 1 species
CGAAUGCUGACAUAAGUAACGAUAAAGCGGGUGAAAAGCCCGCUCGCCGGAAGACCAAGGGUUCCUGUCCAACGUUAAUCGGGGCAGGGUGAGUCGACCCCUAAGGCGAGGCCGAAAGGCGUAGUCGAUGGGAAACAGGUUAAUAUUCCUGUACUUGGUGUUACUGCGAAGGGGGGACGGAGAAGGCUAUGUUGGCCGGGCGACGGUUGUCCCGGUUUAAGCGUGUAGGCUGGUUUUCCAGGCAAAUCCGGAAAAUCAAGGCUGAGGCGUGAUGACGAGGCACUACGGUGCUGAAGCAACAAAUGCCCUGCUUCCAGGAAAAGCCUCUAAGCAUCAGGUAACAUCAAAUCGUACCCCAAACCGACACAGGUGGUCAGGUAGAGAAUACCAAGGCGCUUGAGAGAACUCGGGUGAAGGAACUAGGCAAAAUGGUGCCGUAACUUCGGGAGAAGGCACGCUGAUAUGUAGGUGAAGUCCCUCGCGGAUGGAGCUGAAAUC